UCAGCUGAUGAGUAUGGCAUGAGCUUGGGCAUAUUGGUCGGCUUUCAGAGUUCGCUUAGUUGCGAGUCCUUUCCCUACCGGGUUUGGAUGUGCGUUGCGCUCAUUAGGCGCUGUGCGCUCUGUCUGUUCCGGGCCUGCUCGUCAGUGCACUUCCUCAGGGUGUUCACCACGACCGGCGCUGCUGUCUGUCUGUUGCGGUCAAACCGGUUAGGCUUAGUCAUUUUGGCUAGGUCUGGUCGGGAUGGCAGGUGGCUCUUGAGUUCUUCUGGCUUCGGCUGGUUUGAGCUUUUGAGUGUAAUUAGCCGACUGUGACGGAUCUGUGCAGUGCGUCGGGGCUGGCGGCUUUGGUGUGUGUACGCGUGCUGUAGCUUACUGGCUUAGUCAGGUCUGGUUGGUGUGUUACCUGCUUUGGUGGGUCUGCCAAUGUCUUGGCUUUGCGUGGUGGGUGGUGGCGCGUGCGAUACUAGCUAGGGCCAAAAGUCUGUGGUGUUGUGGUAAACGAUCCACCCGACCCGUCUUGAAACACGGGACCAAGGAGUUUAACAUGUACGCGAGUCAUUGGGCGUUACGAAACCCAAAGGCGCAGUGAAAGUAAAGGUUCGGCUUGUCCGAGCUGAGGUGAGAUCCUGCUGUUCCUCUGCCUUGGACUACCAAGCAAUCGAGCAGUGGGCGCAUCACCGGCCCGUCUCAUGAUGUAGUCAUAUGACCUUUUGGUUGUGUGCACCUUCGGGGCGGAGCUAGAGCGUACACGUUGAGACCCGAAAGAUGGUGAACUAUGCCUGCGGAGGUUGAAGCCAGAGGAAACUCUGGUGGAGGACCGCAGCGAUUCUGACGCGCA
rnacentral:rRNA from 1 species